UGAUCACACUCCCUGGGCUGCCAUCAACAUUUAGAUGCUUGAUGUGAGUGGAAAGAAUCUGCAAAUUCUUUUGUGAGACUCGGAAUCUCAUCAAGAAUGUAUCUGACUACAUGGGAAACUGAUUUUAUUUUGGCUUCUAAAUGACAAGCCUUCAUUAAGCAAGGAGCAUCUCUCCCUAGAAACAGCAUUCUCUAUACCCUGAUAGAAGGGAAGGAAGAAGGAGAUUCUCCCUUCUUUGGGGCCAGAAGACAGCUCAGAAAUCCUAUUUCUCCUCCUGAAAGAAAUACAUUUUUUUUCCUCAACCCCAAUAGGUGAUCUCUGCACACACUGACUCCCCUUUGCCUUAGGCCACGAGAGGAAGCAGCCUGAAACCCUCACCAGAAGCCAAUGCCAGUACUAUGCUUCUUGCACCAUCUGCAGAACCAUAAACCAAAUAAACCUCU
rnacentral:lncRNA from 10 species